AAUAGAUACCCUGGUAGUCCCAGCCGUAAACGAUGCUCGCUAGGUGUCAGGCAUGGCGCGACCGUGUCUGGUGCCGCAGGGAAGCCGUGAAGCGAGCCACCUGGGAAGUACGGCCGCAAGGCUGAAACUUAAAGGAAUUGGCGGGGGAGCACAACAACGGGUGGAGCCUGCGGUUUAAUUGGACUCAACGCCGGACAACUCACCGGGGACGACAGCAAUAUGUAGGCCAGGCUAAAGACCUUGCCUGAAUCGCUGAGAGGAGGUGCAUGGCCGUCGCCAGUUCGUACUGUGAAGCAUCCUGUUAAGUCAGGCAACGAGCGAGACCCGUGCCCACUGUUACCAGCAUGUCCUCCGGGACGAUGGGUACUCUGUGGGGACCGCCGAUGUUAAAUCGGAGGAAGGUGCGGGCUACGGUAGGUCAGUAUGCCCCGAAUUUCCCGGGCUACACGCGGGCUACAAUGAAUGGGACAAUGGGUCCCUACCCCGAGAGGGGUUGGUAAUCUCCCAAACCCAUCCAUAGUUCGGAUCGAGGGCUGUAACUCGCCCUCG
rnacentral:rRNA from 1 species